rnacentral:rRNA from 1 species
CAAAGGAAGCGAUUCCGGCGGGGGAUGGGCAUGCGGCGCAUUAGCUAGUCGGCGGGGUAACGGCCCACCGAGGCGACGAUGCGUAGGGGUUCUGAGAGGAAGGUCCCCCACACUGGUACUGAGACACGGACCAGACUCCUACGGGAGGCAGCAGUGAGGAAUAUUGGUCAAUGGGCGGGAGCCUGAACCAGCCAAGUCGCGUGAGGGAAGACGGUCCUAUGGAUUGUAAACCUCUUUUGCCGGGGAGCAACGGGGUCCUUGCGAGGGCCUAAUGAGAGUACCCGGAGAAAAAGCAUCGGCUAACUCCGUGCCAGCAGCCGCGGUAAUACGGAGGAUGCGAGCGUUAUCCGGAUUUAUUGGGUUUAAAGGGUGCGUAGGCGGGCUGUUAAGUCAGCGGUCAAAUGUCGGGGCUCAACCCCGGCCUGCCGUUGAAACUGGUGGCCUCGAGUGGGCGAGAAGUAUGCGGAAUGCGUGGUGUAGCGGUGAAAUGCAUAGAUAUCACGCAGAACUCCGAUUGCGAAGGCAGCAUACCGGCGCCCGACUGACGCUGAGGCACGAAAGCGUGGGUAUCGAACAGGAUUAGAUACCCUGGUAGUCCACGCAGUAAACGAUGAAUGCUAGCUGUCCGGGGCUUCGGU